AUACAUGCAAGUAGAACGCUGAAGGAAGGAGCUUGCUCUUUCCGGAUGAGUUGCGAACGGGUGAGUAACGCGUAGGUAACCUGCCUGGUAGCGGGGGAUAACUAUUGGAAACGAUAGCUAAUACCGCAUAACAGUAGAUAUCGCAUGAUAUUUGCUUGAAAGGUGCAACUGCACCACUACCAGAUGGACCUGCGUUGUAUUAGCUAGUUGGUGAGGUAACGGCUCACCAAGGCAACGAUACAUAGCCGACCUGAGAGGGUGAUCGGCCACACUGGGACUGAGACACGGCCCAGACUCCUACGGGAGGCAGCAGUAGGGAAUCUUCGGCAAUGGACGGAAGUCUGACCGAGCAACGCCGCGUGAGUGAAGAAGGUUUUCGGAUCGUAAAGCUCUGUUGUAAGAGAAGAACGAGUGUGAGAGUGGAAAGUUCACACUGUGACGGUAUCUUACCAGAAAGGGACGGCUAACUACGUGCCAGCAGCCGCGGU
rnacentral:rRNA from 1 species